AGCUGUGUUGUCAAGGUCUGUUUGGGGGGGGAGAUAACCGAAGCAGGAUCAGGAGUUCAGAAUGGCAGCUGGACUAUUCUUCACCCAGACAUCAUGCCCGGUACAUCUCUCCAGUCACCACGCCACUAUCAACCCCUCGGCGCAGCCCAGUGUCCGUUUGUGUCUUAUCCUCGGGUGUGACGUGUAGCAACAGUAACGGGGAGUUUGACCUACGUGACUGAGGUUUUUCGAGCAGCGGAGUGACGUGCGGCUGUUUUUGUGGAGGCCAGCUGACCUGUGUAGCAUGGCGCGGCACGGCAGCAUGGCAAGGGAUAGGCGUUGACGAUCCGAUCGAAAGGCUUGACUCCACAGCGAUAAGGAGUCUCCUCUAUCAAGACAACAACUUUGCACUGCGCCUUCACUGACAACGCCCACUUGAUCUUGAUGCUACAGUUAUUGGCGAUCAAAAGGCCUUGAGUGCAGCGAUCACGUGACUCCUGCACCAUCACUGACCCUUCCCCUAACACCACCGUUGCCGUUACUACCGCUGAGGGACUCUGCCUCGCAGCGCACCCCAGCGGCCCGGCAAACGCCUUCUACUGCUACCACUACCACCACCACCACCACCACCACCACUACUACUACUACUACUACUUGCUACUACUACUAUUGCUACUACCGCCGGCGCCUUCAUCCAGCGAGAUUCAGCUUCGCAUCGCGCACUUUCUGCCAGUCAACACCUGCCGCAGCCGUCCCCGCCCCCGCACCCACCACCACCACCUCCACCAGCAAGGAUUCUGCAUGGCACCUUGACCCUGCACGGCCAUCACCUACUGUUACUGGUACUGCUGGUGGUGUUAGUGGCCAGGGAGGGAAGAGUUGCGGGUUGGCGUGGCAGUCGGUCUUUUCCACUCAUUGUGGGUGGUGGAUGUACUUAGACAGGUGUGGUGGUGUGGUGCCAUUACUCCAUUGUAAUAAAUUGUCUUCACUGCCUCAUUGUGUUGUCACUGUACUAAGCUGUUGUCACUUACUGAAUAAUAAAUUGUGAAGAAAUC